GACGGAGGGGGCUAGCGUUGUUCGGAAUUACUGGGCGUAAAGAGUGCGUAGGUGGUUUAGUAAGUUGGAAGUGAAAGCCCGGGGCUUAACCUCGGAAUUGCUUUCAAAACUACUAAUCUAGAGUGUAGUAGGGGAUGAUGGAAUUCCUAGUGUAGAGGUGAAAUUCUUAGAUAUUAGGAGGAACACCGGUGGCGAAGGCGGUCAUCUGGGCUACAACUGACGCUGAUGCACGAAAGCGUGGGGAGCAAACA
rnacentral:rRNA from 1 species